CCUACGGGAGGCAGCAGUGGGGAAUAUUGCACAAUGGGGGAAACCCUGAUGCAGCGACGUCGCGUGAGUGAAGACGUACUUCGUUAUGUAAAGCUCUUUCAGCAGGGGAGAAAAUGACGGUACCUGAGUAAGAAGCCCCGGCUAACUACGUGCCAGCAGCCGCUGUAAUACGUAAGGGGCAAGCGUUAUUCGGAUUUACUGGGUGUAAAGGGAGCGUUGACGGGAUUGCAAGUCUGGAGUGAAAGGCGGGGGCUCAACCCCCGGACUGCUAUGGAAACUGUAGGGCUGGAGUGGAGGAGAGGUAAGUGGAAUUCCUGGUGUAGCGGUGAAAUGCGUAGAUAUUAGGCGGAACACCAGUGGCGAAGGCAGCUUGCUGGACUGUAACGGACGUUGAGGCACGAAAGCGUGGGGAGCGAACAGGAUUAGAUACCCGUGUAGUC
rnacentral:rRNA from 1 species